AGCGUAGACGGUAAAGCAAGUCUGAAGUGAAAGCCCGGGGGCUCAACCCCGGGGACUGCUUUGGAAACUGUUUAACUAGAGUGCUGGAGAGGUAAGCGGAAUUCCUAGUGUAGCGGUGAAAUGCGUAGAUAUUAGGAGGAACACCAGUGGCGAAGGCGGCUUACUGGACAGUAACUGACGUUGAGGCUCGAAAGCGUGGGGAGCAAAC
rnacentral:rRNA from 1 species